rnacentral:lncRNA from 1 species
AGCCACCCAGCUACUUAAUGACAUCAUUUGGUAGUUGCUGUUCCCACAGAAAGGCUGGGGAACUUGGAUACGUACCCCUUCUCACAUCACAGCAACAGUAUGAGAAACUCAAGCUCUCUUCAGCCAUGAGUGGGCAGACAGGCCCUGGUGAUAAAGGAUCUGCCAGCCACCAUGAUACUUCCUCUGAGUCACCAGCUCUCAGGAUCCACUCCGUGUUUUCAAUGAAUGAGGGAAGACAGAAUAACAAUUUUGUACCCAAUAUAAUCUGCACAUGUGAGCCUCUUACUUCCACAGAGCCAGAAUUCUACAUGGCUGGGCAUUGUGGUGCGCCGCUGAAAUCCUAGCACUUGGAAGGCUGAGGCGGAAGGAUCAUGAGUUCAAGACCACCCAGGACUACAUGCUCGUAGUAUUUGCUCUACCACAUUCUGGACCUUUUGAAGAGACAGCUGUGGACAUGCUAUAAAGGAUGACUGUUUUCACCAGCACUGUAUUCACUUCGCCCUCUAAGGCUGAUAAACCCAGAGCCAUUGCUUACAUUCCAAAGGAUGAUAAACC